rnacentral:rRNA from 1 species
UACAGAGGGUGCGAGCGUUGUUCGGAAUUAUUGGGCGUAAAGCGCUUGUAGGCGGCUUGUUAAGUCGCGUGUGAAAUCCCCAGGCUCAACCUGGGAAGUGCGCGCGAAACUGGCGAGCUUGAAUGCCGGAGAGGGUCGCGGAAUUCCCGGUGUAGAGGUGAAAUUCGUAGAUAUCGGGAGGAACACCAGUGGCGAAGGCGGCGAUCUGGGUAGAUACUGACGCUGAGGUGCGAAAGCGUGGGGAGCAAACAGG